GAUUGAAUUGUGUGAAUGAUGAAAAUGUUGUUGUUAAACCCAUGAAAUUUGAUUGAAUUGUGUGAAUGAUGAAAAUGUUGUUGUUAAACCUAUGAAAUUUGAUUGAAUUGUGUGAAUGAUGAAAAUGUUGUUGUUAAACCCAUGAACUUUGAUUGUAUUGUGUGAAUGAUGAAAACGUUGAUGUUAAACCUAUGAAAUUUGGUUGAAUUGUGCGAAUGAUGAAGAAAACGUUGUUGUUAAACCUAAGAAAUUUGAUUGAAUUAUGCGAAUGAUGAAGAUGUUGUUCCUAAACCCUUGAAAUUUUAUUGAAUUGUGUGAAUGAUGAAGAUGUUGUUGUUAAACCUAUGAAAUUUGAUUGAAUUGUGUGAUGAUGAAAAUGUUGGUGUUAAACCCAUGAAAUUUGAAUGAAUUGUGUGAAUGAAGAAAACGUUGAUGUUAAACCUAUGAAAUUUGAUUGAAUCGUAUGAAUGAUGAAAAUGUUGUUAUUAAACCCAUGAAAUUUGAUUGAAUUUUGUGAAUGAUGCAAAUGUUGCUGUUAAACCCAUGAAAUUUGAUUGAUUUGUGUGAAUAAUGAAAAUGUUGUUGUAAAUUUAUGAAUUUUGAUUGAAUUGUGUGAAUGAUGAAAAUGUUGUUGUUAAACCCAUGAACUUUGAUUGAAUUNNNNNNNNNNNNNNNNNNNNNNNNNNNNNNNNNNUGUUAAACCUAUGAAAUUUGGUUCAAUUGUGUGAAUGAUGAAAAUGUUGUUGUUAAACCCAUGAACUUUGAUUGAAUUGUGUGAAUGAUGAAAACGUUGAUGUUAAACCUAUGAAAUUUGGUUGAAUUGUGCGAUUAAUGAAAAUGUUGUUGUUAAACCUAUGAAAUUUGGUUCAAUUGUGUGAAUGAUGAGAAUGUUGUUGUUAAACCCAUGAACUUUGAUUGAAUUGUGUGAAUGAUGAAAACAUUGAUGUUAAACCCAUGAAAUUUGGUUGAAUUGUGCGAAUGAUGAAAACGUUGUUAAACCUAUGAAAUUUGAUUGAAUUGUGUAAAUGAUGAAGAUGUUUUGUUAAACCUGUGCAAUUUGAUUGACUUGUGUGAUGAUGAAAAUGUAGUUGUUAAACCCAUGAAAUUUGAUUGAAUUGUGUGAAGGAUGAAAAUGUUGAUGUUAAACCUAUGAAAUUUGAUUGAAUUGUGUGAAUGAUGAAAAUGUUGAUGUUAAACCUAUGCAAUUUGAUUGAAUUUGUGAAUGAUGAAAAUGUUGUUGUUAAACCCAUGAAAUUUGAUUGAAUUGUGUGAAUGAUGAAAAUGUUGUUGUUAAACCCAUGAGAUUUGAUUGAAUUUUGUGAAUGAUGAAAAUGUUGUUGUUAAACCCAUGAAAUUUGAUUGAAUUGUGUGAUGAUGAAAAUGUUGUUGUUAAACCCAUGAACUUUGAUUGAAUUGUGUGAAUAAUGAAAAUGUUGUUGUUAAACCUAUGAUAUUUGAUUGAAUUGAGUGAAUGAUGAAAAUGUUGUUGUUAAACCCAUGAAAUUUGAUUGAAUUGUGUGAAUGAUGAAAACGUUGAUGUUAAACCUAUGAAAAUUGAAUGAAUUAUGCGUAUGAUGAAGAAAAUGUUGUUGUCAAACCUAUGAAAUUUGAUUGAAUUGUGUGAAUGAUGAAAAUGUUGUUGUUAAACCCAUGAAAUUUGAUUGAAUUUUGUGAAUGAUGAAAACGUUGUUGUUAAACCCAUGAAAUUUGAUUAAAUUGUGUGAAUAAUGAAAAUGUUGAUGUUAAACCUAUGAAAUUUGAUUCAAUUGUGUGAAUGAUGAAAAUGUUGUUGUUAAACCCAUGAAAUUUGAUUGAAUUGUGUGAAUGAUGAAAAUGUUGUUGUUAAACCCAUGAAAUUUGAUUGAAUUGUGUGAAUGAUGAAAAUGUUGUUGUUAAACCCAUGAAAUUUGAUUGAAUUGUGUGAAUGAUGAAAAUGUUGUUGUUAAACCCAUGAAAUUUGAUUGAAUUGUGUGAAUGAUGAAAAUGUUGUUGUUAAACCCAUGAAAUUUGAUUGAAUUGUGUGAAUGAUGAAAAUGUUGUUGUUAAACCCAUGAAAUUUGAUUGAAUUGUGUGAAUGAUGAAAAUGUUGUUGUUAAACCCAUGAAAUUUGAUUGAAUUGUGUGAAUGAUGAAAAUGUUGAUGUUAAACCCAUGAAAUUUGAUUGAAUUGUGUGAAUGAUGAAAAUGUUGUUGUUAAACCUACGAAAUUUGAUUGAAUUGUGCGAAUAAUGAAAAAAAUGUUGUUGUUAAACCUAUGAAAUUUGAUUGAAUUGUGUGAAUGAUGAAGAUGUUGUUGUUAAACCUAUGAAAUUUGAUUGAAUUGUGUGAAUGAUGAAAACGUUGAUGUUAAACCUACGAAAUUUGAUUGAAUUGUGCGAAUAAUGAAAAAAAUGUUGUUGUUAAACGUAUGAAAUUUGAUUGAAUUGUGUGACUGAUGAAGAUGUUGUUGUUAAACCUAUGCAAUUUGAUUGAAUUGUGUGAUGAUGAAAAUGUGGUUCUUAAACCCAUGAAAUUUGAUUGAAUUGUGUGAAUAAUGAAAAUGUUGUUGUUAAACCUAUGAAAUUUGAUUGAAUGGUGUGAAUCAUGAAAAUGUUGUUGUUAAACCCAUGAACUUUGAUUGGAUUGUGUGAACGAUGAAAACGUUAUUGUUAAACCCAUGAAAUUUGAUUGAAUUGUGUGAAUAAUGAAAAUGUUGAUGUUAAACCUAUGAAAUUUGAUUCAAUUGUAUGAAUGAUGAAAAUGUUGUUGUUAAACCCAUGAACUUUGAUUGAAUUGUGUGAAUGAUGAAAACGUUGAUGUUAAACCUAUGAAAUUUGAAUGAAUUGUGCGUAUGAUGAAGAAAAUGUUGUUGUCAAACCUAUGAAAUUUGAUUGAAUUGUGUGAAUGAUGAAAAUGUUGUUGUUAAACCCAUGAAAUUUGAUUGAAUUGUGUGAAUGAUGAAAAUGUUGUUGUUAAACCCAUGAAAUUUGAUUGAAUUGUGUGAAUGAUGAAAAUGUUGUUGUUAAACCCAUGAAAUUUGAUUGAAUUGUGUGAAUGAUGAAAAUGUUGUUGUUAAACCCAUGAAAUUUGAUUGAAUUGUGUGAAUGAUGAAAAUGUUGUUGUUAAACCCAUGAAAUUUGAUUGAAUUGUGUGAAUGAUGAAAAUGUUGUUGUUAAACCCAUGAAAUUUGAUUGAAUUGUGUGAAUGAUGAAAAUGUUGUUGUUAAACCCAUGAAAUUUGAUUGAAUUGUGUGAAUGAUGAAAAUGUUGUUGUUAAACCCAUGAAAUUUGAUUGAAUUGUGUGAAUGAUGAAAAUGUUGUUGUUAAACCCAUGAAAUUUGAUUGAAUUGUGUGAAUGAUGAAAAUGUUGUUGUUAAACCCAUGAAAUUUGAUUGAAUUGUGUGAAUGAUGAAAAUGUUGUUGUUAAACCCAUGAAAUUUGAUUGAAUUGUGUGAAUGAUGAAAAUGUUGUUGUUAAACCCAUGAAAUUUGAUUGAAUUGUGUGAAUGAUGAAAAUGUUGUUGUUAAACCCAUGAAAUUUGAUUGAAUUGUGUGAAUGAUGAAAAUGUUGUUGUUAAACCCAUGAAAUUUGAUUGAAUUGUGUGAAUGAUGAAAAUGUUGUUGUUAAACCCAUGAAAUUUGAUUGAAUUGUGUGAAUGAUGAAAAUGUUGUUGUUAAACCCAUGAAAUUUGAUUGAAUUGUGUGAAUGAUGAAAAUGUUGUUGUUAAACCCAUGAAAUUUGAUUGAAUUGUGUGAAUGAUGAAAAUGUUGUUGUUAAACCCAUGAAAUUUGAUUGAAUUGUGUGAAUGAUGAAAAUGUUGUUGUUAAACCCAUGAAAUUUGAUUGAAUUGUGUGAAUGAUGAAAAUGUUGUUGUUAAACCCAUGAAAUUUGAUUGAAUUGUGUGAAUGAUGAAAAUGUUGUUGUUAAACCCAUGAAAUUUGAUUGAAUUGUGUGAAUGAUGAAAAUGUUGUUGUUAAACCCAUGAAAUUUGAUUGAAUUGUGUGAAUGAUGAAAAUGUUGUUGUUAAACCCAUGAAAUUUGAUUGAAUUGUGUGAAUGAUGAAAAUGUUGUUGUUAAACCCAUGAAAUUUGAUUGAAUUGUGUGAAUGAUGAAAAUGUUGUUGUUAAACCCAUGAAAUUUGAUUGAAUUGUGUGAAUGAUGAAAAUGUUGUUGUUAAACCCAUGAAAUUUGAUUGAAUUGUGUGAAUGAUGAAAAUGUUGAUGUUAAACCCAUGAAAUUUGAUUGAAUUGUGUGAAUGAUGAAAUUGUUGUUGUUAAACCCAUGAAAUUUGAUUGAAUUGUGUGAAUGAUGAAAAUGUUGUUGUUAAACCCAUGAAAUUUGAUUGAAUUGUGUGAAUGAUGAAAAUGUUGUUGUUAAACCCAUGAAAUUUGAUUGAAUUGUGUGAAUGAUGAAAAUGUUGUUGUUAAACCCAUGAAAUUUGAUUGAAUUGUGUGAAUGAUGAAAAUGUUGUUGUUAAACCCAUGAAAUUUGAUUGAAUUGUGUGAAUGAUGAAAAUGUUGUUGUUAAACCCAUGAAAUUUGAUUGAAUUGUGUGAAUGAUGAAAAUGUUGUUGUUAAACCCAUGAAAUUUGAUUGAAUUGUGUGAAUGAUGAAAAUGUUGUUGUUAAACCCAUGAAAUUUGAUUGAAUUGUGUGAAUGAUGAAAAUGUUGUUGUUAAACCCAUGAAAUUUGAUUGAAUUGUGUGAAUGAUGAAAAUGUUGUUGUUAAACCCAUGAAAUUUGAUUGAAUUGUGUGAAUGAUGAAAAUGUUGUUGUUAAACCCAUGAAAUUUGAUUGAAUUGUGUGAAUGAUGAAAAUGUUGUUGUUAAACCCAUGAAAUUUGAUUGAAUUGUGUGAAUGAUGAAAAUGUUGUUGUUAAACCCAUGAAAUUUGAUUGAAUUGUGUGAAUGAUGAAAUUGUUGUUGUUAAACCCAUGAAAUUUGAUUGAAUUGUGUGAAUGAUGAAAAUGUUGUUGUUAAACCCAUGAAAUUUGAUUGAAUUGUGUGAAUGAUGAAAAUGUUGUUGUUAAACCCAUGAAAUUUGAUUGAAUUGUGUGAAUGAUGAAAAUGUUGUUGUUAAACCCAUGAAAUUUGAUUGAAUUGUGUGAAUGAUGAAAAUGUUGUUGUUAAACCCAUGAAAUUUGAUUGAAUCGUGUGAAUGAUGAAAACGUUGUUGUUAAACCCAUGAAAUUUGACUGAAUUGUGCGAAUGAUGAAGAAAAUGUUGUUGUUAUACCUAUGAAAUUUGAUGGAAUUGUGUGAAUGAUGAAAAUGUUGUUGUUAAACCCAUGAAAUUUGACUAAAUUUUGUGAAUGAUGAAAAUGUUGUUGUUAAACCCAUAAAAUUUAAUUGAAUUGUGUUAACGAUGAAAACGUUGUCGUUAAACCUAUGAAAUUUGAUUGAAUUGUGUGAAUGAUGAAAAUGUUGUUGUUAAACCCAUGAAAUUUAAUUGAAUUGUGUGAACGAUGAAAACGUUGUUGUUAAACCCAUGAAAUUUGAUUGAAGUGUGUGAAUAAUGAAAAUGUUGAUGUUAAACCUAUGAAAUUUGGUUCAAUUGUGUGAAUGAUGAAAAUGUUGUUGUUAAACCCAUGAACUUUGAUUGAAUUGUGUGAAUGAUGAAAACAUUGAUGUUAAACCUAUGAAAUUUGGUUCAAUUGUGCGAAUAAUGAAAAUGUUGUUGUUAAACUUAUGAAAUUUGGUUCAAUUGUGUGAAUGAUGAAAAUGUUGUUGUAAACCCAUGAACUUUGAUUGAAUUGUGUGAAUGAUGAAAACAUUGAUGUUAAACCCAUGAAAUUUGGUUGAAUUGUUCGAAUGAUGAAAACGUUGUUAAACCUAUGAAAUUUGAUUGAAUUGUGUGAAUGAUGAAGAUGUUUUGUUAAACCUGUAAAAUUUGAUUGAAUUGUGUGAUGAUGAAAAUGCAGUUGUUAAACCCAUGAAAUUUGAUUGAAUUGUGUGAAGGAUGAAAACGUUGAUGUUAAACCUAUGAAAUUUGAUUGAAUCGUGUGAAUGAUGAAAAUGUUGAUGUUAAAACUAUGCAAUUUGAUUGAAUUUGUGAAUGAUGAAAAUUAUGUUGUUAAACCCAUGAAAUUUGAUUGAAUUGUGUGAAUGAUGCAAAAUGUUGAUGUUAAACCUAUGAGAUUUGAUUGAAUUGUGUGAAUGAUGAAAAUGUUGUUGUUAAACCCAUGAGAUUUGAUUGAAUUGUGUGAAUGAUGAAAAUGUUGUUGUUAAACCCAUGAAAUUUGAUUGAAUUGUGUGAAUGAUGAAAAUGUUGUUGUUAAACCUAUGAGAUUUGAUUGAAUUGUGUGAAUGAUGAAAAUGUUGUUGUUAAACCCAUGAAAUUUGAUUGAAUUGUGUGAAUGAUGAAAAUGUUGUUGUUAAACCCAUGAAUAAACUAACUUAACACACUUACAUGAAAAUGUUGUUGUUAAACCCAUGAAAUUUGAUUGAAUUGUGUGAAUGAUGAAAAUGUUGUUGUUAAACCCAUGAAAUUUGAUUGAAUUGUGUGAAUGAUGAAGAUGUUGAUGUUAAACCCAUGAAAUUUGAUUGAAUUGUGUGAAUAAUGAAAACGUUGAUGUUAGUCCUAUGAAAUUUGAUUCAAUUGUGUGAAUGAUGAAAAUGUUGUUGUUAAACCCAUGAACUUUGAUUGAAUUGUGUGAAUGAUGAAAACGUUGAUGUUAAACCUAUGAAAUUUGAUUGAAUUGUGUAAUUAUGAAAAUGUUGAUGUUAAACCUAUGCAAUUUGAUUGAAUUUGUGAAUGAUGAAAAUGUAGUUGUUAAACCCAUGAAAUUUGAUUGAAUUGUGUGAAUGAUGCAAAACGUUGAUGUUAAAUCUAUGAAAGUUUAUUGAAUUGUGUGAAUGAUGAAGAAAAUGUUGUUAUUAAGCCUAUGAAAUUUGAUUGAAUUUUGUGAAUGAUGAAAACGUUGUUGUUAAACCUAGGAAAUUUGAUUGAAUUGUGUGAAUGAUGAAGAAAACGUUGUUGUUAAACCCAGGAAAUUUGAUUAAAUUGCGUGAAUGAUGAAGAAAACGUUGUUGUUAAACCCAUGAGAUUUGAUUGAAUUAUGUGAAUGAUGAAAAUGUUGUUGUUAAACCCAUGAAAUUUGAUUGAAUUGUGUGAAUGAUGAAGAAAAUGUUGUUGUUAAAACCAUGAGAUUUGAUUGAAUUGUGUGAAUCAUGAAAAUGUUGUUGUUAAACCCAUGAAAUUUGAUUGAAUUGUGUGAAUGACGAAAAUGAUGAUGUUAAACCUAUGAAAUUUGAUUGAAUUGUGUGAAUGAUGAAGAUGUUGUUGCUAAACCCAUGAGAUUUGAUUGAAUUGUGUGAAUGAUGAAAACUUUGAUGUUAAACCUAUGAGAUUUGAUUGAAUUGUGCGAAUGAUGAAAAUGUUGAUGUUAAACCUAUGAAAUUUGGUUGAAUUGUGCGAAUGAUGAAGAUGUUGUUGUUAAACCUAUGAAAUUUGAUUGAAUUGUGUGAAUGAUGAAGAAAAUGUUGAUGUUAAACCUAUGAAAUUUGAUUGAAUUUGUGAAUGAUGAAAAUGUUGUUGUUAAACCCAUGAAAUUUGAUUGAAUUGUGUGAAUGAUGAAAAUGUUGUUGUUAAAC
rnacentral:lncRNA from 1 species